ensembl:lncRNA novel transcript
GAGUAGCUGGGACUGCAGGCGCCCGCCACCAUGCCUGGCUAAUUUUUUGUAUGUUUAGUAGAGACGGGGUUUCACCGUGUUAGCCAGGAUGGUCUCUAUCUCCUGACCUUGUGAUCUGCCUGCCUCGGCCUCCCGAAGUGCCGGGAUUACAAGCGUGAGCCACCAUUCCCGGCCCAAAGAGGAGAAGAAGUAUGAAGUGCUUGCUUGGACCUUUCUACUGUGCUUAUUAUUCUGUCUUCUCCUCAUGGCAAAUGCUUCCUGUCCUUGAACAUCAGACUUCAAGUUCUUCAGUUUUGGGACUUGGACUGGCCCCUUGCUCCUCAGCUUCCCAAUGGCCUACUGUGGGACCUUGUGAUCAUUUUGGGGACUCAGAUUGACUUCCUUGCUUCUCAGCUUGAAGAUGGACUAUUGUGGGACUUCACCUUGUGAUCAUAAGCUGACAAACGGUUUAUAUCAGAAGGUGGAAUCGUGGGUAUGGUCGAUGUGGCAGGUCCUAAACAUAAAUUGGAAACAUAGCAUCUCAGAUCCAGAAGAGGACCUUGGCCUACCAUAUGCCUAAUGCUUGAAUUUCCUUACCUGUCCAAGAAGUCCCUUAUGAUGUACUCUUGUAAUACCAUCUUUCAUCCUUAGACAACUUAACUGAUAUGAAGUUCAAACUUAUAUUGCCUGCUUGACUGUGGUUUCAACACCUUAUACCUAAUAUCACUCCUAGGACCAUAAGGGGUAAAUCUUUCACAUGACUGCUCCUACAGUUGUUUGAAGCCAUCAAUGAUAUUCACUCAUAGAGGGCUUUGAGGCUUACCAACCUUUGCUACAACAAUAUUCCUCAGGAGACAGUCUUGAGUACAGUGCCUGCAAUACAUUUUGUUAUCAUUGCAUAAUUAA